AUGCCUUGAAGCUCUACUACAUGGCUUUUCCUAGGGAAGAAGAUAUAUAAGGGGCUUCCCAAGGACAACCCACUUUCUACCACUGGGAAAAGACCCUGGACAUCAAGAACUAGGAUGGAAUCAAGGAUCACACAUUGGAUUCAGUUCUCAUGCCUCUUCAGCAUCUUUUCAUUUGAUACAGUUCCUGAGCCUUUGGUCUGGCCUUUCCUGACACUGACAUUGUUAAAGAGACCAGGGCAGUUUUGCAGAACAUCUUUCAGUUUCUUCAGGGUGCAACUCAGGUGAAAUGCUUUUGCCAAGAAUGCUACCGGAAUGUGUCAUUCUCAGUACAUCCCAGUGGGCACAUAGGAUAUCUGUUUGUCCCAUCAAUAAUGAUGAUAAUGACCAUCAGGCUAAGGUGACAUUAGCUAGCUUUCUAUGUUGUUUGAAGGUAACGUUUACUCUUUGUAAUCAAUAAGGAAUAUAUGUUGGAGGAAGUCAUCAAGAGGACAUGACUGCUGGUUGGACUGGGCCAUCAGAAACUCCUCAUCUCUUUCCCUGGCUUUGGAAUCCUUGGAAUGUGCACUCCACUUGCCUUCCCUGCAUUAGAAGUUGCCCCAAGGACAGUAUAUAUGGCUGUACUCAAUUAAGGCCUUUAUCUAAACGUUUAACAUUCUGGCAGGGGCUGGGGGGAUCUACUCAUCUUGUCACUGCCCUAGAUAAACUUUGUAAGUUUCCUCGUUUAUUAAAACUGCCACCUACAAA